AUGCGUCUCCUGGCCCGGAGAUCCCGAGGGUUGCACAGAGCGCGGGGAACCCCGUCCCCGCAGCCGCUGCGCGCACACACCCGGGGCGCAGCCAGGGGCGGGGAACCCCCGCGCCUCCCCGCCCCAGCGCAGCGAAGCGAGGCGAGGCCCGGCCCGGCCCGGCCCGGCGGGUGCACAGGUGCAAGGCUGCGCCCGAGCGCCCCGGCCCGCGACCCCCGCCCCGACGGACGAGAGGAGUGGGAGCGGCGGGCAGCGCGGAGAGGACCGGCGACGCGACGCCCGCACCCCGGGGGCGCGCGCGGCGUGGCCGCGAGGAGAAAGGAUGCGCGGGGCGGCGCGGGGCGGGGCGGCGGUGGGGGAGGGGUCCCCGGCCCGGACUCCCACUCACCGCGGCGCUCUCCUGGCCCGGGCUCCGCGGCUCGCCCGGCUCGGCUCCGGCCGCUCGCGGCUCCUCCCGAGGCUCACCGUCCAAGCAGGGCGCGCGGGGCCGGGGAGAGGUCGGCGCGCGCCGAGGGCGUGUGGCGAGCCGAGCCGAGGGGGUGGGGAGGCAGGGCCGGUCGCGCUCGCCGCCGCCGCCGCCGGGGCCACCACAGACACAGCCGCCGCCGGCUCCUCUUAGCCACGGAAGCUGCGGGCCCUCCCACCACAGCCGCCUCCCGCCUCCCGCCCCGCCCCGCCGGAGGAGUGGCAGCGCAGCUGGCCAAUCAGAGGCCCAGUCGGGGCAGGGCUCCUCGGCCCAGAGGGGCGUUCGGGGAAGGAAGGGGAACGAGCGAGGAGGGGACGGCGGCGCGACUUCCUGUGACUGACAGCGCGGCGCAGCCAAUGGGCGGCGGGGAGAUGACCUCAUCGCGGAGGGAAGUCUGGAACUGGCGGAGCGGCUCUGAGGAGGUGGGAGGAGGUCGGACCUUAAAGAGGCCGCAGCCCCUGGCCACCCUGUCAGGGGAAGGGCGGCGGGCCGGGUCGGACCGCCCAGUUGCCGAGGGGUCAGUGCCCUGCCGCGAGCCUCCAGACCCCAUCCCGAGCCUCCCCUCAGGGGCUGACGCCCCGCCUGAGGCUCCCAAGUCGGGGUUUCACGGUCACGCUUCCCAGAAGACGAUCGAUUCCCUGAAUUCCCGGGCCAGCCCCCGCCCCACCGAGGCCCCGGCGCCCCGGCCCUCGCAGUCGGUCUCCCCAGGUGGGAAGGGGGGCUCCUCCUGA
rnacentral:lncRNA from 1 species